UACGUAGGGGGGCAAGCGUUGUCCGGAAUUACUGGGCGUAAAGAGCUCGUAGGUGGUUUGUCGCGUUGUCCGUGAAAACUCACAACUCAAUUGUGGGCGUGCGGGCGAUACGGGCAGACUGGAGUACUGCAGGGGAGACUGGAAUUCCUGGUGUAGCGGUGGAAUGCGCAGAUAUCAGGAGGAACACCGGUGGCGAAGGCGGGUCUCUGGGCAGUAACUGACGCUGAGGAGCGAAAGCGUGGGGAGCGAACAGG
rnacentral:rRNA from 1 species